UAGUCUGUUCGUUCCGUGUCGCGACCCGGUGCGAGCGGGAUCCGUCUCGGGUCGGGUCGUGACAAUUAUGACCUACGACUUCUUUAAAUUUUAUAAGCUUGAUUGGAAGAUGAUGGAUUGGAUUGAGAUUAAUAAAGUUGAGUUGAUGAAUACCAGUUGGUUUUUGAGUCAUCCAUGUUCAUUUUACAUGAAGGGAGGUAAAGGGAAAUAUGUGUACUAUUUGGCAAGUUCUGCUUGGUGGGGAGGGCAACCGGGAGAUCGUGCACGUCCUACUUGGCAAACAAUUCUUUUCUUUAGAAAGGAAGGUGAGGAUGAUCUUCCGAUGAUGAAUGUGUUCAUCCACAACAUGGUUGAAGGCAACAUAGAAAUUCUUUUGUCUAAAAAGUAUGGCUCUAAGAAGGCUGAAUGUUGGGUGGACAAAUGUAUACUUUAUUAAGCGUGCUAAUGUAUUCUUUUGAGUUUAGCAUGGAGUAUUUCUUAACAAAAGUUCGCUAUUGUUUUAAUAAAAUUUAUAUAGUUUAAAUUUAUUUAGCUUAAACUAUUCUUCUUAGAUAUUUCAUAUAUCUUUAAUUAAAGAAAUUAAUAUCAUCAUUAAAUAAUUUAUAAAAUGAGAUCAGUUACGUGUAAAGAUCUCAAACGAUUAUUUGAAUGCUUUACAGGGCGUUUGUGGAAUAAAAAACAUGCUUUGCAUACAUUAAAAAUAAUAGAUCAACUAUUGAAUUAGAAGUCUAUGAAAUUGCUUCCUUAAUUAUCGUGAGCUGAAUGUGUUGGUGAAAGACAAGCUGAUUCAAGGAUCUACAUAGGACCUUCCCAUAAAAGCUUCAACCAUUGCGUUUUAGACUUUAUUUGGGACAACUUUCUUUUUGUUUUUAAAACAGUUUUUUAGUACAACUGCUUUAGAAAGUAAAAACAAAAAUUAUCCUAAAUAAAACCUUAGCCUUUAUAUAAGAGAUGUUUAUUAUUAUCUAAGAAGUGAUAGAUGGACAAAUGGUGGUCUCAAAUGCUUUUCAUUGAGCUUGAUAAAAACAUUCUCUAUCGAACCUUCAUGAUUCAGCUGAAAGUUUCUUUGUAUGAAAAAAUAUGGAUUUGACUGACAAAUAUGUAUGAUGAGUUUCUUAUGUAUAUUUUUUUAAUAUUAGAUAAAUAUUUGAGGAGAUAAGUGUUGAUCUCAUUAUCCUAAGUCAAUUUCUCUGGAAUCAAUCUGUAGCACCUAGGUUUUUGUAGCCUAGUAUAGACGUCGCUUUUAUGAUUUCCCUUAUGUGGAUGCCCACUGAAGUAACAUUGACUCGACCCUAUUAUUCAACCAAAAUCAAAAUCAUUUCAAUAUGAAUCUAAUUUGGAUCUGAAUAUAAUAAAUCUAAUCGAGCAUCGUCAAGCCUAAUUAAAUUCGAUUCGACUGCAUUCUGAAUUUGACGGGUUCAACCAACGCUAUAUAAAUUUUCUCGAUAUAAUUUUAGAGAUUUGGAUAUCGAUUCGAGGCACAUAAAAUCAUUAUAAUAAAAUUAAAACCAAAUUCAUUAAACUUUACAUUUAAUUCGGCUACAAUUAUGUUAAAAUUGAUCAACUCGAUCUACUUAAUUUCACCAAUUUAGUUUGUAAUUUUGUUCAAAAUUAACCCUUAGAUUAUUUUUUAAAAAAUGAUGAAUGAUCUUAACCGUCGAUUUGAAUUGAGAUAGAAGAGGCGUGCGAUUAGGCCGGUUUAGCCAAAUCUCCAUCCCCCUCUUAUUUCGGAAACCGCUCGCUCCUGCUCUAUUGGCGGAAACGAAAGGCAAGCAGUUCAAAAAAUCGCCAAGGCUCAGUUCGCGAACCCCCAGGCCCUCGCCGCUCUCUCUCUCGCGAAGAUAGCAUGCCCUCUCCGUCGCCCUCUCGAUUCGCAAAGCCGAAGCCUCCGGUCUCUCCCCCUUGCUCGUGUGGACAGCAACCUUAGCCGAAGCCCUCAUUUCCUUUGCCCUAGAUGACUCCGGCAAUCCUCUCAUUGCUUCUGGUAACCCUUUUCCCCAUCAUCUUCUUCUCAUUUAUCUCCUUCUGCAUCUCCGUUAUUUCCAAGCCCUAGCAAACCUUUCAACUUCUUACUUGGAUCAAGAGCAAGAUGUAGCAAACAAACCUUUUACUCUUCUUGUAUAUAAAACAAAAUCGUUAACGAUUAAUGGAUUUACCUUUAUAUAUAUAUGGCUGCAUCUAUCAUGCAAUUGAUAAGAGGGAGAAUGGGGUUUAUGGUUCUGUAGCAAGGGAAUGGAGGUUUCUUUUGAAAUCAAGAAUAAGAGAAAUAGAUAUCCCUUUCUUUGGAAUAAAAGAAGACUUAUAUCCAUCUUCUUGAAUUUUUUUUUUUUUAAAGUUCUGUUUAAUAUGAGACAAGGAGAUGAGUGUACGUUGCAUUUUCUCAAAAUCAAUUUCGUACACAAUGAAUUUCUUGUUUGAGAGAUGUUUUUGGAAUAAUUUUUUUUAAUAGUUUGCUCUGAGAUGAAAACUUGUUGAGAUCAUUAUAGAUUUCUUACUGUUUGAAUAUAGAAUGUGGUUGAAUAUUAUUUUUGCCGCAUAUAAAUGUUGAAAUCCACAUAUGAUUCGUCUUGAUAGAUCAAUGGUUGCAUAUAUAUAUAUCGCCUCAUGUUCUUUGUUUCUUUUUUAAGUUUUCUUGGGAGAAAUAUUUUAUGGUUCUUUUGGCUUGAUAAUGUCCACGCCACAUUUCUUAAUAAUUUAUUUUGAGACAAAACUCAAACAGAAUGAUUUUCCGAUCUCUUUCUCUCUUAAAAGGAUCAAAAACAUUUAGGUUGCUUUUCUUUUACUAAAGAUUGGGAAUUUUCAUGAGUCUUUGGAAAAAGUAAGGUGGCAUCAAUUAUUCUUUCUCAUUAUUGUUGUUGGAAGGGUUUAUGAGAACUUGUAUGCUGCAAUGAUGCUUUCUGUAGUAUAGUAGCUUGAAAAGUAAGGUAUAUGUCAGUGAUUUUGGAAAGUUAAAGGUGUAUGUGAAAAGUAAGGUAUAUGUGAGUGAUAUUGGAAAGUGAAAUGUGUUAUCUUGAAAGGUAAAGAGUGAUUUUGGGAGAUGAGGUGAAAAUUUUUGGGAAAAUGAGAUGUGUAUGUGAAAAGUAAAAAUGAUUGAUUUUGUGCGAAGUAAAAACUGUUUUGAAAAGUGCAAAGUGAAAUGUGUGGCUUUGAAAAGUAGUAUUUUCAAGAGUGUGUGUUUGAAAAGUAAAAAAAUGUAUAUCUUUUGGGAAGUUUUGGAAAAUAAAGUGUAUAUUUGUAUUGAAAAACAAAAUGUGUAAAAGUGAAGAUGAAAGGUGACUUCUAUAUGUUUGGAAAAGGGAAAUUGUGGAGUUUGUAUAAUUUUUUAGAAUUGAGAAAUAUAAAUGUGCGAAAGUCAAGUGAAUGUUGGAAAAUGAAGAAAUGUAUGUCUUGAAAGUGGAAAGUAUGUGAAUUUUUGGAAAAGGAGAUGAAAAGUAGUUUGUGUUAAAGAAUGAGUUAGUUGGAAAUUUUAUUAGAAGAUGAAAGUGUUGAAGAAAGCAAUCUCUCUUUCUUUCUCUACCUCUUUCUUUUCCCCUUUUACUCCCUUUUUUUUAUGCCUCGGGGUAAAUCUUGUAAAGAUAUACAAUAUGAGUUCAAAAGUGGAAAGUUCAAAACGCAAUCAAUAAAGACUGUGUUCAAGCCUGAAGAAAAGCAUGUUUUUAAUUUUAGUAAAUUUUAAUUAUUUUAUUAUUAAUUAUUAAAUGUGCUUCUAAUACUUAUUUUCUUUUCUUUACUUGCAUGAACUACGAGGAAUGGUACCGGUUGAGUGAACGUAAGGACAAGGGGCUAAAGGUGUCAGUCGCCUCCAUCCAACCGGGUGGAGGUGCUAUGGGCGAAACCACUGGGUCAUAGCCCCCGGUAAUUGCACUGUCAUAGGGACGAAUUACUCGAAUGACAACACUUCUAGUGGUGAUCUUGUAGCUAGCAUGGAUAACAUGUCGUGGGUUCUCGCCAUAAGUAAGAUUGAAAGCAAAAUGACCAUUUUCAAAUGGUCCCGGCAUGUCGAUUCUGCUCCCACUAUGAGGGUUGAGAAGAAAUAAUGAGUUUUAAUAUUGUUUCAAACAUACUUCUUCUUCAUGACACAUCAGCAACCACUCUCCUUUGUUGUACAAACAUAAAGCAUCUCGAAGGUGUGAGCUACUGAUAGUGUGGAAAACCUUAGUGGAAACAUCGAGGAUGCAACGAUCUGUGCUGGAAAGGUCGGGAAUGCUAAACACAAGAGGUUUGUUUUCAUUGGCAGGAGAGAUGUCAUGUGAACUAAUUGAGUAACCUGACAACGAGAAAGAAAGCUUAUUAAUAGAGAUCACAAACAUGACCCAUGAAACUUUAUUGAUGAAAGCAAACAUUUGUUAUAAAAGCUAUCGUCAUUGUAUUAAAAAAGCAACAGUGAAUAAAUCAAAACAUUUGAUUUGUUAUAUUUUUUUAUUAGUCAUAAUAACAUAUUUAUCAAAUAUAUUAUUUGUCAAAACACCCAUUAACAUGGGGAGCACAUUUAAAACCAUCCCUUAUCCCUAAUUAACAAAAAAAAA